GAUGAACGCUGGCGGCGUGCCUAAUACAUGCAAGUCGAGCGAACAGACGAGGAGCUUGCUCCUCUGACGUUAGCGGCGGACGGGUGAGUAACACGUGGAUAACCUACCUAUAAGACUGGGAUAACUUCGGGAAACCGGAGCUAAUACCGGAUAAUAUAUUGAACCGCAUGGUUCAAUAGUGAAAGACGGUUUUGCUGUCACUUCUAGAUGGAUCUGCGCCGCAUUAGCUAGUUGGUAAGGUAACGGCUUAUCAAGGCGACGAUGCGUAGCCGACCUGAGAGGGUGGUCGCCCACAUGGGAGCUGGGACACGGUCCAGACUCCUACGGGAGGCAGCAGUAGGGAAUCUUCCGCAAUGGGCGGAAGCCUGACGGAGCAACGCCGCGUGAGUGAUGAAGGUCUUCGGAUCGUAAAACUCUGUUAUUAGGGAAGAACAAAUGUGUAAGUAACUAUGCACGUCUUGACGGUACCUAAUCAGAAAGCCACGGCUAACUACGUG
rnacentral:rRNA from 1 species